UACGAAGGGGGGCUAGCGUUGUUCGGGAAUUACUGGGCGUAAAGCGUUUGUAGGCGGUUGAACAAGUCAGUGGUGAAAGCCCAGGGCUUAACCCUGGAAUUGCCAUUGAAACUGUUCAGCUAGAGAGUGUUAGAGGAAAGUGGAAUUCCUAGUGUAGGAGUGAAAUCCGUAGAGAUUAGGAGGAAUAUCGAUGGCGAAGGCAGCUUUCUGGGACAUUUUCUGACGCUGAGAAACGAAAGCGUGGGUAGCAAACAGGG
rnacentral:rRNA from 1 species